GCCUGCGUAGUGUAGUGGUUUCAGUAUUGGAUUAGGAAUCUGGAGGCCAUGGUUCAAAUCCUGGCUCAGCCA